rnacentral:rRNA from 1 species
GACGAACGCUGGCGGCGUGCUUAACACAUGCAAGUCGAACGGUAAGGCCCUUCGGGGUACACGAGUGGCGAACGGGUGAGUAACACGUGGGUGAUCUGCCCUGCACUUCGGGAUAAGCCUGGGAAACUGGGUCUAAUACCGGAUAGGACUCCUGGCUUCAUGGUUGGGGGGGGAAAGCUUUUGCGGUGGGGGAUGGGCCCGCGGCCUAUCAGCUUGUUGGUGGGGUAAUGGCCUACCAAGGCGACGACGGGUAGCCGGCCUGAGAGGGUGACCGGUCACACUGGGACUGAGAUACGGCCCAGACUCCUACGGGAGGCAGCAGUGGGGAAUAUUGCACAAUGGGCGCAAGCCUGAUGCAGCGACGCCGCGUGAGGGAUGACGGCCUUCGGGUUGUAAACCUCUUUCAGCUAUGACGAAGCGCAAGUGACGGUAGUAGCAGAAGAAGGACCGGCCAACUACGUGCCAGCCGCCGCAGUAA